rnacentral:rRNA from 1 species
ACGAACGCUGGCGGCGUGCUUAACCCAUGCAAGUCGAACGGAAAGGCCCUGCUUUUGUGGGGUGCUCGAGUGGCGAACGGGUGAGUAACACGUGAGUAACCUGCCCUUGACUUUGGGAUAACUUCAGGAAACUGGGGCUAAUACCGGAUAGGAGCUCCUGCUGCAUGGUGGGGGUUGGAAAGUUUCGGCGGUUGGGGAUGGACUCGCGGCUUAUCAGCUUGUUGGUGGGGUAGUGGCUUACCAAGGCUUUGACGGGUAGCCGGCCUGAGAGGGUGACCGGCCACAUUGGGACUGAGAUACGGCCCAGACUCCUACGGGAGGCAGCAGUGGGGAAUAUUGCACAAUGGGCGGAAGCCUGAUGCAGCAACGCCGCGUGCGGGAUGACGGCCUUCGGGUUGUAAACCGCUUUCGCCUGCGACGAAGCGUGAGUGACGGUAAUGGGUAAAGAAGCACCGGCUAACUACGUG